rnacentral:rRNA from 1 species
GAUGAACGCUGGCGGCGUGCCUAAUACAUGCAAGUCGAGCGAACAGACGAGGAGCUUGCUCCUCUGACGUUAGCGGCGGACGGGUGAGUAACACGUGGAUAACCUACCUAUAAGACUGGGAUAACUUCGGGAAACCGGAGCUAAUACCGGAUAAUAUACUGAACCGCAUGGUUCAAUAGUGAAAGACGGUUUUGCUGUCACUUAUAUAUGGAUCCGCGCCGCAUUAGCUAGUUGGUAAGGUAACGGCUUACCAAGGCAACGAUGCGUAGCCGACCUGAGAGGGUGAUCGGCCACACGGGAACUGGGACACGGUCCAGACUCCUGCGGGAGGCAGCAGUAGGGAAUCUUCCGCAAUGGGCGAAAGCCUGACGGAGCAACGCCGAGUGAGUGAUGAAGGUCUUCGGAUCGUAAAACUCUGUUAUUAGGGAAGAACAAAUGUGUAAGUAACUAUGCACGUCUUGACGGUACCUAAUCAGAAAGCCACGGCUAACUACGUG